GGUGAAUUCUUUAAACAAGACAUGAGAGCGCCGAAACGUAGGACGGAGUGUUGAAGGUGGGGAACGAAAGGAGAACAUUGACUGCCGACGCUUCCCUACCACGGGCCACGAGACUAUGGGAGUGGUUGGUCCUUUUCUCAUUAACGACUCUUCCACUUUUCCCUUCUCCCCUUCAUUUGCUUCUGUCGCUGUUUCUGUGCGUGCCCAGUUCCUCAGACCAUUUAAAUAUCUGUGGCAAGUGGCAACUCCCUCUUAAGAUUUUAACUCUUUCGGUGAAGAAGGAAAGAGAGGAAGGGAAUUGGUCACUGGGUCGAUAUUAGAAUUGGAGAAGAGAGAAGGGUCGUCGAGAUAUUUGCAGAAGUGACUCAAGAAAGUAAGGACAGCAGGUAUGGCAGAUGAAGAGAAGAUGAUUUCAGCUACUGGACCAGAUCGUCGCGUUCUUCUUCUGUCUGCUGGUGCUAGUCACUCUGUUGCUCUUCUCACUGGAAAUAUUGUUUGCUCUUGGGGACGAGGCGAGGAUGGACAGUUAGGCCAUGGAGAUGCUGAAGAUCGACUUUCUCCUACCCAAAUGAGUGAAUUAGAUGGCCAUGAAAUUGUCUCUAUUACAUGUGGAGCUGAUCAUACAGCUGCAUACUCAGAAGCUCUGAUGCAAGUGUAUAGUUGGGGAUGGGGUGAUUUUGGAAGAUUGGGUCAUGGUAACUCCAGUGACCUGUUUACUCCUCAACCAAUCAAAGCUUUACAAGGUGUGAUGAUAAAGCAAAUUGCUUGUGGGGAUAGCCAUUGCUUGGCAGUCACCAUUGAAGGCGAGGUGCAGAGGUUGGUAGUUGUUGGUAUGAGUUGGGGGAGAAAUCAAAAUGGCCAACUUGGUCUUGGCCAUAGUGAGGACUCACUUUUUCCACAAAAAGUCGAAGCUUUCCAGGGAAUAUUUGUAAAAAUGAUUGCGGCUGGUGCUGAACAUACAGCUGCUGUUACGGAAGAUGGAAAGCUCUAUGGUUGGGGCUGGGGUCGAUAUGGGAACUUGGGUUUAGGCGACAGAAAUGAUCGUUUGAUCCCCCAUCAUGUUUCUGCUGUUAAUGGACAGAACAUGGUUCUUGUUGCAUGUGGAUGGCGGCAUACAAUUGCUGUUUCCUCUUCUGGGGGUUUAUAUACCUAUGGGUGGAGCAAAUACGGUCAGCUGGGACAUGGAGACUUUGAGGAUCACCUUGUUCCUCAUCAGUUGGAAGCUCUACAAGAUGAUUUUAUUUCUCAGAUAUCAGGUGGUUGGCGUCACACCAUGGCAGUCACAUCUGAUGGCAGACUUUACGGCUGGGGAUGGAAUAAGUUUGGACAGGUUGGUGUUGGUGAUAAUGUUGACCGCUGCUCUCCAGUGCAAGUUAAAUUUCCACAGGAACAGAAAGUAGUGCAAAUAUCUUGUGGAUGGAGGCACACACUUGCUGUUACAGAAAAACAGAAUGUUUUUUCGUGGGGUAGGGGUACAAAUGGACAACUUGGACAUGGUGAUUCUGUUGACAGAAAUAUUCCCCAGAUUUUGGAGAUAUUGAGUGUUGAUGGAUCUAGUUUCCAACAGAUAGAAUCAUCAAAGGUCGAAUCACUAUCAGCAGACAAGACGUGGGUUUCACCAUCAGAGAGAUAUGCAGUUGUUCCUGAUGAAACAAUGCAGGGGAAAACUGUCGUUCCAAUCAAGGGCAAUGGCAGUGAUGCAAGUGUCCCAGAGAAUGAUAUCAAGCGGAUGCGAAUCUGAAUCCUUCACUUACCCAAAACCUUGCCAAGUGUCCCAGAGAAUGAUAUCAAGCGGAUGCAAAUCUAAAUCCUUCACUUACCCAAAACCUUCAGAGCUUUUGACUACACAAUUGAGCUCCCAGCGUUUCAUUGUACUGUGUAGCUGCUGGAUGUCGUCUCUCACGUGUUUCAGAGUAUCAACAUCACUGACCGAGUUUUCCUUUACCAUGAUUGAAGGAGGAUUGCUAGCAUCGUAUUAGCAAAGGGGAGGGUAGUUUCGACCUCAUCAAAAGGGGGUGGGAGUGAUGCUGACCCAGAGUCCAAUCACAAGGUCACAUCACAUGUAUUCCUUCUCUACGGGUGAAGGGAAUCCGGGAAACUUUCACCUUUCUUUCAUUUGUUUAUGGAUUUAG